rnacentral:rRNA from 1 species
UUAAGCGACUAAGCGUACACGGUGGAUGCCCUGGCAGUCAGAGGCGAUGAAGGACGUGCUAAUCUGCGAUAAGCGCCGGUAAGGUGAUAUGAACCGUUAUAACCGGCGAUUUCCGAAUGGGGAAACCCAGUGUGACUCGUCACACUAUCAUUAACUGAAUCCAUAGGUUAAUGAGGCGAACCGGGGGGAACUGAAACAUCUAAGUACCCCGAGGAAAAGAAAUCAACCGAGAUUCCCCCAGUAGCGGCGAGCGAACGGGGAGGAGCCCAGAGCCUGAAUCAGCAUGUGUGUUAGUGGAAGCGUCUGGAAAGGCGCGCGAUACAGGGUGACAGCCCCGUACACAAAAGCGCAUGUGCUGUGAGCUCGAUGAGUAGGGCGGGACACGUGGUAUCCUGUCUGAAUAUGGGGGGACCAUCCUCCAAGGCUAAAUACUCCUGACUGACCGAUAGUGAACCAGUACCGUGAGGGAAAGGCGAAAAGAACCCCGGCGAGGGGAGUGAAAAAGAACCUGAAACCGUGUACGUACAAGCAGUGGGAGCACAGGUUUACCUGUGUGACUGCGUACCUUUUGUAUAAUGGGUCAGCGACUUAUAUUCUGUAGCAAGGUUAACCGUAUAGGGGAGCCGGAGGGAAACCGAGUCUUAACCGGGCGUUAAGUUGCAGGGUAUAGACCCGAAACCCGGUGAUCUAGCCAUGGGCAGGUUGAAGGUUGGGUAACACUAACUGGAGGACCGAACCGACUAAUGUUGAAAAAUUAGCGGAUGACCUGUGGCUGGGGGUGAAAGGCCAAUCAAACCGGGAGAUAGCUGGUUCUCCCCGAAAGCUAUUUAGGUAGCGCCUCGUGAAUUCAUCUCCGGGGGUAGAGCACUGUUUCGGCUAGGGGGCCAUCCCGGCUUACCAACCCGAUGCAAACUGCGAAUACCGGAGAAUGUUAUCACGGGAGACACACGGCGGGUGCUAACGUCCGUCGUGAAGAGGGAAACAACCCAGACCGCCAGCUAAGGUCCCAAAGUCAUGGUUAAGUGGGAAACGAUGUGGGAAGGCCCAGACAGCCAGGAUGUUGGCUUAGAAGCAGCCAUCAUUUAAAGAAAGCGUAAUAGCUCACUGGUCGAGUCGGCCUGCGCGGAAGAUGUAACGGGGCUAAACCAUGCACCGAAGCUGCGGCAGCGAACGUAUCACCCAAGACAACUUUACGGAGUUGACGAUUGACGGAGCGAAGCGACGUCAAAGCGUUCAUUAAAGUCGAGUUGGCUUAGGGAUACGUUCGUUGGGUAGGGGAGCGUUCUGUAAGCCUGUGAAGGUGUGUCGUGAGGCAUGCUGGAGGUAUCAGAAGUGCGAAUGCUGACAUAAGUAACGAUAAAGCGGGUGAAAAGCCCGCUCGCCGGAAGACCAAGGGUUCCUGUCCAACGUUAAUCGGGGCAGGGUGAGUCGACCCCUAAGGCGAGGCCGAAAGGCGUAGUCGAUGGGAAACGGGUUAAUAUUCCCGUACUUGGUGUUACUGCGAAGGGGGGACGGAGAAGGCUAUGUUGGCCGGGCGACGGUUGUCCCGGUUUAAGCGUGUAGGUGUGUGUUCCAGGUAAAUCCGGUUCACUUUAACACUGAGGCGUGACGACGAGGCACUACGGUGCUGAAGCAACAAAUGCCCUGCUUCCAGGAAAAGCCUCUAAGCAUCAGGUAACAUCAAAUCGUACCCCAAACCGACACAGGUGGUCAGGUAGAGAAUACCAAGGCGCUUGAGAGAACUCGGGUGAAGGAACUAGGCAAAAUGGUGCCGUAACUUCGGGAGAAGGCACGCUGACACGUAGGUGAAGUGAUUUACUCAUGGAGCUGAAGUCAGUCGAAGAUACCAGCUGGCUGCAACUGUUUAUUAAAAACACAGCACUGUGCAAACACGAAAGUGGACGUAUACGGUGUGACGCCUGCCCGGUGCCGGAAGGUUAAUUGAUGGGGUCAGCGCAAGCGAAGCUCCUGAUCGAAGCCCCGGUAAACGGCGGCCGUAACUAUAACGGUCCUAAGGUAGCGAAAUUCCUUGUCGGGUAAGUUCCGACCUGCACGAAUGGCGUAAUGAUGGCCAGGCUGUCUCCACCCGAGACUCAGUGAAAUUGAACUCGCUGUGAAGAUGCAGUGUACCCGCGGCAAGACGGAAAGACCCCGUGAACCUUUACUAUAGCUUGACACUGAACAUUGAGCCUUGAUGUGUAGGAUAGGUGGGAGGCUUUGAAGUGUGGACGCCAGUCUGCAUGGAGCCGACCUUGAAAUACCACCCUUUAAUGUUUGAUGUUCUAACGUGGACCCGUAAUCCGGGUUGCGGACAGUGUCUGGUGGGUAGUUUGACUGGGGCGGUCUCCUCCUAAAGAGUAACGGAGGAGCACGAAGGUUGGCUAAUCCUGGUCGGACAUCAGGAGGUUAGUGCAAUGGCAUAAGCCAGCUUGACUGCGAGCGUGACGGCGCGAGCAGGUGCGAAAGCAGGUCAUAGUGAUCCGGUGGUUCUGAAUGGAAGGGCCAUCGCUCAACGGAUAAAAGGUACUCCGGGGAUAACAGGCUGAUACCGCCCAAGAGUUCAUAUCGACGGCGGUGUUUGGCACCUCGAUGUCGGCUCAUCACAUCCUGGGGCUGAAGUAGGUCCCAAGGGUAUGGCUGUUCGCCAUUUAAAGUGGUACGCGAGCUGGGUUUAGAACGUCGUGAGACAGUUCGGUCCCUAUCUGCCGUGGGCGCUGGAGAACUGAGGGGGGCUGCUCCUAGUACGAGAGGACCGGAGUGGACGCAUCACUGGUGUUCGGGUUGUCAUGCCAAUGGCACUGCCCGGUAGCUAAAUGCGGAAGAGAUAAGUGCUGAAAGCAUCUAAGCACGAAACUUGCCCCGAGAUGAGUUCUCCCUGAGACUUAGAGUCUCCUGAAGGAACGUUGAAGACGACGACGUUGAUAGGCCGGGUGUGUAAGCGCAGCGAUGCGUUGAGCUAACCGGUACUAAUGAACCGUGAGGCUUAACCUU